AAAGUCUCCAGCAUUUCAUCAUAUGUUCUCAGCAACUGCAUGAAAAGAAGCUUCUUUCCCAUUCCAUCUAUCAGAAGCCCCCGGUACCAGGCUCUAAAAUGACCAACCUGGGUCAAGUGUUCAUUCUUGUACUCUUCUCUAUGGCCAGAGGUUCACAGGUGCUGUGAUGUCUUUCACAGGCAAUGGAUAAAGCAUCCUGCAUUGUCCUAGGCACACUCUGUAGGGAAGAUAUGGGAAUCUGAAGUCAACUUUGCCAAAAUUGUGAGGAUUGCUAAUGUGAGAUGAGAAUCUACUCACAAACAUUAAGAAGGUAACAUGAUGAGUGAAGUAAAGGUAGGUUAUAGUUGAAAGAGCCACAGGAAACUCUGUGUCCUUGCUUCCCUUUCACGCGUAUGGACUCAUAUUCCAUGAUUGAAAGGUUAUCUUCUGGAAGCCUACUGUUUUACCUUUCAGAGUUUGGUCUACAACACACCUAAACUGAUGUUUGUGUAUGGUAUGAGGGGCUGCUACUAAGAGAAAGCAUGCUCUCAGAUAACCGUUUUCAGAUAACGUCGAGAAAGUGAGAGUAUACACAGAUCAACAUGAUGGUCCACUUAACGGGGGAAGAGAGUAAAAUGUUGGUGUCACUGACAAGGAUGGCAACAUUUAAAUGUUCAGAUCCUUACAGGAGAAGCAUUGCAGUCACUUGACAAUCUCAAGCUAUGUGUUUCUUCAGUGCUUCUUGAAAACAUUUAUAAUACAGAAGAUGGUUUUAAAAAAUGUAUAACUUUUUCAAUGAAAAUGUGAAUUUCAACACCUUAAAAAGCAUAUUAUACUACUGUGAAGUGCUCAUGGUUCAUUUUAUUUAACUCACCUUCUAGAUAACUUCUUAGAAAAAUAGGACUCAAUUUAAUUUUAAAAUCAUUUUAAAAUUACAUGAAAUGACAUAAGGAGAUGAAUGCAAUAGUUGCUAAUGUUUCUUGGAGGAGUCAUGGGGCAAA
rnacentral:lncRNA from 1 species